GCUGAUAUGGCCGAGUCGUUAAGGCGAGUGAUUCGAAUUCCUGGAUUUGUUCCAAAUUAUUCGAUUAUCACUUGGGCAUUGCCCGCGUAGGUUCAAAUCCUACUGUCAGCG